GUGGGGAAUAUUGGACAAUGGGCGAAAGCCUGAUCCAGCAAUGCCGCGUGAGUGAAGAAGGCCUUAGGGUUGUAAAGCUCUUUUACCCGGGAUGAUAAUGACAGUACCGGGAGAAUAAGCUCCGGCUAACUCCGUGCCAGCAGCCGCGGUAAUACGGAGGGAGCUAGCGUUGUUCGGAAUCACUGGGCGUAAAGCGCACGUAGGCGGCUUUGUAAGUUAGAGGUGAAAGACCGGGGCUCAACUCCGGAACUGCCUUUAAGACUGCAUCGCUUGAAUCUGGGAGAGGUGAGUGGAAUUCCGAGUGUAGAGGUGAAAUUCGUAGAUAUUCGGAAGAACACCAGUGGCGAAGGCGGCUCACUGGACCAGAAUUGACGCUGAGGUGCGAAAGCGUGGGGAGCAAACAGGAUUAGAUACCCCAGUAGUCC
rnacentral:rRNA from 1 species